rnacentral:misc_RNA from 1 species
UCCGGUUUGUCACCGGCAGUCUCCCAUGAGUCCCCAACUGAAUGCUGGCAACAUGGAACGGGGGUUGCGCUCGUUGCGGGACUUAACCCAACAUCUCACGACACGAGCUGACGACAGCCAUGCAGCACCUGUGUCCAGGUUCCCUUUCGGGCACACCCCCAUCUCUGGAGGCUUCCUGGCAUGUCAAGGGUAGGUAAGGUUUUUCGCGUUGCAUCGAAUUGAACCACAUGCUCCACCGCUUGUGCGGGUCCCCGUCAAUUCCUUUGAGUUUUAGCCUUGCGGCCGUACUCCCCAGGCGGAGUGCUUAACGCGUUAGCUGCGGCACCACGAGGGUCAAAGCCCGUGACACCUAGCACUCAUCGUUUACGGCGUGGACUAC